AGGCGUAGAAGUAAGGUGUUGUGCCAGAAUGCAGUACCUUAUGAGCUUUAUACGGGUUUGACAUUUACCACAAUCUGGCUAGAAAUCGCGGGUUUCGAAAGAAAAUGUCGGAG
rnacentral:sRNA from 12 species